ensembl:snoRNA
AUCCAAAAUAGAGUGGUGAUGUCUUUUCCAAGCACACAUCUGUUUUGCUCUGUGUGGAAAAUGACUGAGUGAUUUUUAGAU